rnacentral:rRNA from 1 species
AUGAACCUGGCCCUCCUCACUCGCUGGCUAUGGCGCAUUGCAAACGGCGAUGGUGGCUUGUGGCUGCAAAUCAUCCGUCGCAAGUACCUGCGCGACCAGCCCCUCUCUUUCUGCGUCAGGACAGGUGGCUCUCAGUUUUGGCAGUCUGUUGUUCAGCUCCUCUCGGUUCUGCGCAUUAGGACAUCCAUCGUGGUUGGCACCGGUUCGGCCACGCUUUUUUGGUUUGACCGAUGGGCAGGUAACCUCCCUUUCGCGGCCCGGUUCCCUGACCUAUUCUCCAUAGCGGUCGAACCCAGGAUCUCCGUCGAGUCGGCCCUUAUUGACUUAGGGCAUCUCGCGUUCCGGCGGCCAUUUGGGCCGCCGGAGGUUGCCGCUUAGCAUGAGCUCCUUGACACAGUGGCCCUCCAUGAGCCUGUCUUAUCGCAACACCUCGACAACCGCCUAUCUUGGCGUCUCGAGCCCUCGGGCCGCUUUUCCACGAAGUCACUCUACUGUGCCAUCGCACACGCUCCCGGACCAAGCGUCCUCGAUUCCAUCUGGUCUAUUCGCGUCCCCCUCAAGAUUAGAAUCUUCAUGUGGCAAUGGAUCCGUGGCCGGCUUCCCUCGGGCGUGGAGGUCCUGAGGCGCCAGGGUCCCGGUGAUGGUAUCUGCCCCCUCUAUGGGAUGGCGGAAACCUCGAAUCACAUCUUCUUCUCGUGCGUGUCCGCCCAGUUUCUUUGGGGCUGCCUCCGAGAGGUCAUCGGUGGCAACUGGUGUCACACUAACUUCUCUGAUCUCCUCUCUGAGGUCCAGUCCUCCCCUUGUCCGGUCGCCACAUUAGGUGGUUGCUCAUUGGGGUGCUCGCUUGGAUGCUGUGGACCGUUCUUAAUAAGCUUGUCAUUCAACGGGUCCCCCUUCGACGUGCUACUAACGCUGUGUUCAAAUUGUGUGGCUUCUUGCAGCUUUGGCGGCCGCUUAGCCGUCACCAGGAUCGCGACGCCAUCACCUCCAUCAUCACCGACCUUCGCUUGA